UACGGAGGGGACUAGCGUUGUUCGGAAUUACUGGGCGUAAAGGGCGCGUAGGCGGCUUGGCAAGUUGGAUGUGAAAGCCCAGGGCUCAACCCUGGAAUUGCAUUCAAGACUGCUUUGCUUGAAUUCGGUAGAGGUUGGUGGAAUUCCCAGUGUAGUGGUGAAAUACGUAGAGAUUGGGAAGAACACCAGUGGCGAAGGCGGCUAUCUGGACGGUUUCUGACGCUAAGACGCGAAAGCGUGGGGAGCAAACAGG
rnacentral:rRNA from 1 species